GAGAUUUCACAGCAAUAUGAAUUCAUGUUUCGGAUAAAAACUAGACAAGAUUUAGUGUCAGGUUAGACACUAACCUGACUAGGGCAAGAGAAGUCCGAAAAAGUAAGCCAAAGAGAUAUUGAAGAGAAUCCUUCUGGCUGCCCCAGAUUGUCUCAUUUGGACGGAUUGCUCAGGUUUCCAGGGUAGAGCCCUCUACCAAGUCACUCUUUAUAACCCUCACAGAGCCAUAAUGUGAACACUUUUCAUAUACCAGCUGGUUUGGAUGCUGAUUCCCUUCCAAUCUCAUGCUGAAAUCUGAGGGGAAUUUUGGAUGUGAGGCCUAAUGGGAGGUGUUUGGAUCAUGGGUGUGGAUUCCUCAUGGAUGAAUAGAUUAAUGCCCUCCCUCAGAGAAUCUUGCUCUGUUGCUCAGGCUGGAGUGCAGUGGUGUGAUCUCAGCUCACUGUAAGUUCUGCUGCCCAAGUUGAAGCGAUUCUCCCACCUCAGCAUCCUGAGUAGCUGGACUACAGGCAUGACCACAUUCUCCUUGUCCAGACACUGGCGCCCAAGGUGGAAGCUGUAGGCGGAGUGUGGAUCCCACGGACCUGUCAUUUGACUUUGCAAAAGCCCACUGAUGAAGGCUAAUGUGCUCCAUUUGGACUGAUUCAACAUGGUACGAAUUUCCUUUGGUUGUAUUGUAACUCCUGGACUGGAACACUUGUGAUCCUCUUUGGCUCCUGUGGCUGCAUUUAAUCGCAGAGAUCUUCCGGAACUGAUCAAUGGUGACAGUAGACAGAUGUCCUGAGACUCCUUAUUUCCCAGGAUGAACUGUCAUGGUGGACAGGCUCUCCAUUGUUCGUAGAAUCUAGUUUGGAUACCAGAAGCACAUGUCUAAAAUAUAAUUCUGAACUUUCCAUUAUCAUGAAACUAAUGCCAUAGAAUAAAUUGGCAAAUCUUGUUCCUAAACUUACCUCGUUUUUCUCACUAAUUAAUGUGACAAUUAAGGGAGAAGAGAUAAAAUGGCAAAAUGGACAUAAUAAUACUGCCAUGCUUGUCUUAGUUACUGCAAGAUCAAAGGGUCUACAAAACCAUUUUGAAGAAUAUAAACGAUCACUGAGAUGCUAGGCAUAACUGUUUAUUAUACUGCUUUGUAUUAUCUAGAUGUAUGUUCUGGAAACGUCUCAUAUCAUAUCCUGCCUAAGUAGAAAUUAUUGUAGUUUAUGCCAUUUGGGUUUCAUAGGUGAAUACAGUUAAGGUGUACUUUACAGCUCUAGGCUAUCCCAGGCAGAGGGAUUUUUAACACUGGUCUCUCCAGUUUUAUUACCAGGUAUACAUUUGGCCUGGUAUGCAUAAUGUUCAUCUCUUGGAUUUAAUAACCGGGUAAUCAAGUUAUGCCACUUAAUUCUUUAGCAAAUGACAAUCUGAGUACAAAUCAUUUCUAAAUUGUUUCUCACAUUAAAUUAAUCCAAAAGUAGGCUUGCUGAUAAUUCUCUAUUACUUCUCACUUAUCUUCCAGUUUAGUAAUUCUUAAUUUUUCUAAUGCUGAGGGCUCAUGCUCCCUUGGAGUGCCUGGCCUCUGCUGUAUAUUAAGUCUGCCUGAGUUCUGAGCUUUACCUUCAGUGACCUGCUGCUAAUUCUAUGCUUUGAGCUCCUCAGAAGUAUCUCAUUAAUCCUAGCAAUAAAAAGUAUUUUUAUGCAAAGCACAUUUCUGGGACCUAGUAACAAUACAAAACAAUAAUACAACAAGGAUGAUGAUAUUUCUGAUUAUCCAGUGCCUCCCUGCUUGGAUUUGAUAGCCUGUUUAAUAA